rnacentral:rRNA from 1 species
CAGUCGCCACGGUAAUACGGAGGGGGCUAGCGUUGUUCGGAAUUACUGGGCGUAAAGCGCACGUAGGCGGCUUGAUAAGUUAGAGGUGAAAGCCUGGAGCUCAACUCCAGAAUUGCCUUUAAGACUGCCGAGCUAGCAGGUGAGAGAGGUAAGUGGAGUUCCGAGUGUAGAGGUGAAGUGCGUAGACAUUCGGAAGAACACCAGUGGCGAAGGCGGCUUACUGGCUCAUACUGGACGCUGAGGUGCGAAAGCGUGGGGAGCAAACAGGAUUAGAUACCCGUAGUCCCUGUCUCUUAUACAC